UACGUAGGGGGCAAGCGUUGUCCGGGUUUACUGGGUGUAAAGGGCGCGCAGGUGGGCUUGAUAGUUAGAGGUGAAAUCCUGUGGCUUAACUGCAGAACUGCCUUUAAUACUUCAAGUCUUGAGUGCGGAAGAGAGAGACGGAAUUCCAGGUGUAGUAGUGAAAUACGUAGAUAUCUGGAAGAACACCAGUUGCGAAGGCGGUCUCUUGGUCCGUAACUGACACUUAGGCGCGAAAGCGUGGGGAGCAAAUAGG
rnacentral:rRNA from 1 species